UACGUAGGGUGCAAGCGUUGUCCGGAAUUAUUGGGCGUAAAGGGCUCGUAGGCGGUUUGUUGCGUCGGGAGUGAAAACUCAGGGCUUAACCCUGAGCCUGCUUCCGAUACGGGCAGACUAGAGGUAUGCAGGGGAGAACGGAAUUCCUGGUGUAGCGGUGAAAUGCGCAGAUAUCAGGAGGAACACCGGUGGCGAAGGCGGUUCUCUGGGCAUUACCUGACGCUGAGGAGCGAAAGUGUGGGGAGCGAACAGG
rnacentral:rRNA from 1 species